rnacentral:rRNA from 1 species
CCUACGGGGGACAGCAGUGAGGAAUAUUGGUCAAUGGACGAGAGUCUGAACCAGCCAAGUAGCGUGAAGGAUGACUGCCCUAUGGGUUGUAAACUUCUUUUAUAUGGGAAUAAAAUGUUCCACGUGUGGGAUUUUGUAUGUACCAUAUGAAUAAGGAUCGACUAACUCCGUGCCAGCAGCCGCGGUAAUACGGAGGAUCCGAGCGUUAUCCGGAUUUAUUGGGUUUAAAGGGAGCGUAGGUGGAUUGUUAAGUCAGUUGUGAAAGUUUGCGGCUCAACCGUAAAAUUGCAGUUGAAACUGGCAGUCUUGAGUACAGUAGAGGUGGGCGGAAUUCGUGGUGUAGCGGUGAAAUGCUUAGAUAUCACGAAGAACUCCGAUUGCGAAGGCAGUUCACUGGACUGCAACUGACACUGAGGCUCGAAAGUGUGGGUAUCAAACAGGAUUAGAUACCCUAGUAGUC